AUUGAACGCUGGCGGCAGGCUUAACACAUGCAAGUCGAGCGGGGUGAUGGUGCUUGCACUAUCACUUAGCGGCGGACGGGUGAGUAAUGCUUAGGAAUCUGCCUAUUAGUGGGGGGCAACAUCUCGAAAGGGAUGCUAAUACCGCAUACGUCCUACGGGAGAAAGCAGGGGAUCACUUGUGACCUUGCGCUAAUAGAUGAGCCUAGGUCGGAUUAGCUAGUUGGUGGGGUAAAGGCCUACCAAGGCGACGAUCUGUAGCGGGUCUGAGAGGAUGAUCCGCCACACUGGGACUGAGACACGGCCCAGACUCCUACGGGAGGCAGCAGUGGGGAAUAUUGGACAAUGGGGGGAACCCUGAUCCAGCCAUGCCGCGUGUGUGAAGAAGGCCUUAUGGUUGUAAAGCACUUUAAGCGAGGAGGAGGCUCUUUUGGUUAAUACCCAAGAUGAGUGGACGUUACUCGCAGAAUAAGCACCGGCUAACUCUGUGCCAGCCGCCGCCGUAA
rnacentral:rRNA from 1 species